ensembl:lncRNA
AAAAGCUGUGUCUGUUGAAAUGCAUCAUGAACUAACAAUGAACAGUUGUAUUUUUAUUAAUAACAAAGAUGAAUGAAUACAGUACAAAUGUACUGCAUAAUGUGAGUUAGUUGAUGCAUUAAUUGUGAAGUGUGAGCAGAAAUCUCAGUGUCCUCGAAUGUUUUCUGUGAAGCACAGUGACUCUGCAGUGAAACAUGAGCGGGUCGGUUCUGACAGGUGUGUGUGUGUGUGUUUGAGUGUUUGGGCCCCGGAGCGAGAGCCGUCCUUCAUCUCUGAGGGACUGAGAGACGAGAAGAUCACAUCAGAUCACAUCAGACCAGAUCCGAGGUUAUGAGGAGAUUUUUCAGAGUUGACCGAGAUGAGGAUUACGGUCAGAUUCAGUAUCUCACGGCUAAAUGUAUCCGGCUGUCUCAGGAGAAAGCAGUGCUCCAGCGAGAGCUGCUGGUGUCUGGGGAGCGUCAGCAGGUUCUGCAGGCAGAGAUGGAGGGUCUGUCGGUGCGUGUGUGUCAGAAGGAGCAGCUCUAUGUGGAGCUGAGCAUCAAGUAUGAACAACUUCUGGAGCGAUUUCAGAAACAGCAGGAACAGGGCGAUCUUCUGCAGCAGCGUUUGAUCUCUGUGACGGAGGAGCGCUGGAGGGACGCCUCACUGCUGUCUCUUCAGCUGGAGCAGGUGAGCUGUGAUUUACAGCAGCUGCAGGGCUCAGACAAGCAGCUGAUGGGCCUGGUGGACGAGCUGCACCAGGAGGCCCAGCUCAGAGCCCAGCAGACUGAGGUCUUGGAGACGCAGCUCCACGAGGAGACUCAGAAAAUACAAGAUCUGGAGAUGCAGCUGAACAGCAAAUCGCUCGAGCUGAUGGAACUCCAGAUGUCCCAUGAAGCCCUGCGGCAGGAUCUGUGUGAUCAGCGCAGCGCCCACCAGAGGAAGGUGGAGGAACUGCGGCGCGAGAAUUCGGAGAGUCUCGGCAAACUCCGUGAAACGGCCGAACAGUUCGAGUGGCUCUGCGAGCAGCAGCGGAGGUGGAUGAGCUGCGUCAGGAGAUUUAAGGACUGUCUGUCAGGUGAGAAGGAGUCCCUGGAGCUGCAGGUGAACAGGUUACAGAUGGAGUUGGAUACUGUCAGGAAUACUGUGCAUUUCAAUCAUUCCACAGAAUCCUGCAGCAGGUGGGAUGUUGAGGUGAUGUCUGACCUCCAGGCGGAGGUGGACCGAUGGAAAACACUGUAUGAAGACCUGCUCCAACUCACCACGCAGCAGGGUCAGAGGGCAGCAGAUGGACACCUCAAACCCCCGUGAGGACCCAAACACAGAUGACAGCUUCACAUCACACACUGAUUCAAAAGUGAUCCAUGAAAAACCCUUAAACCUGUAGUUCUGUUGACAUCAUUGUUAUUGAAUGUGCAGGGUUUAUGAAAGACGAGAGCUGUUCAGGUCAAGUUCUUCAUUCUGUUCUUCAUUUGUUUUGCUGUCUGUGCUUCAGGGUCACCAGCAUUACAAUAAAUGUUGUGCAAUUCAUUGCA